AAAUAAUUUUCUUAAAAACUGCUAUUUUUGGAAAGUUUUCAUUUUUUUAGAGAAAUAUUGUAGAUUUGAAUUUGUGGUGUAAAAAUUAAGAUAACAAGAAUAUUUGUGGAUCAUUGAGUAUUCUUUUAGAAAUUUUCAUCAACAAGUUGUAUUUGAAAUAAUUAUCUUAAAAACUUCUAUUUUUGGAAAGUUUUCAUUUUGUAGAGAAAUAUUGUAGAUUUGGGUUUGUGAUUUAAAAUUUAGGAUAAAAAGAAUAUUGUGGAUAAAUGAGUAUAAUUUAAGAAUUUUUCAUCAAUGUGUUGUAUUUUUACAUAAUUUUCUUAAAAACUGCUAUUUUUGGAAAGUUUUAAUUUUAUAGAUAAAUAUUGUAGAUUUAGGUUUGUGAUUUAAAAAUCAGGAUAACAAGACUAUUUGUGGACAGAUGAAUACUCUUUAAGAAAUUUUCAUCAAUAUGUUAUAUUUUUAAAUAAAUUUCUUAAAAAUUUUAUUUUUGGAAAGUUUUCGUUUGUAGAGAAAUAUUGUAGAUUUGGGUUUGUGAUUUAGAAAUUAGGAUAACAAGAAUAUUUGUGGAUAGAUGAAUAUAAUUUAAGAAAUUUUCAAUAAUGUAUUGUAUUUUUAAAUUAUUUUCUUAAAAACAGUUUUCUUUGGAAAGUUUUCAUUUUAUAGAUAAAUUUUGUAGAUUUGGGUUUGUGAUUUAAAAAUUAGGAUAACUACACUAUUUGUGGACAGAUAAAUACUCUUUAAGAAUUUUUCAUCAAUAUGUUAUAUUUUUAAAUAAUUUUCUUUAAACUGCUAUUUUUGGAAAGUUUUCAUUUUUUUAAAGAAAUAUUAUAGAUUUGGAUUUGUGAAUUAGAAAUUAGGAUAACAAGAACAUUUGUGGAUAGAUGAGUAUUCUUUCGGAGUAUUCAUCAGUAGGUUAUAUUUUUAAAUAAUUUUCUUAAAAACUGCUAUUUUUGAAAAGUUUUCAUUUUUUUAGAGAAAUAUUGUAGAUUUGAAUUUGUGGUGUAAAAAUUAAGAUAACAAGAAUAUUUGUGGAUAAUUGAGUAUUCUUUUAGAAAUUUUAAUCAACAAGUUGCAUUUGAAAUAAUUUUCUUAAAAACUUCUAUUUUUGGAAAUUUUUUAUUUUUUAAAGAAAUAUUGUAGAUUUGGCUUUGUGAUUUUAAAAUUAGGACAACAACUAUAUUUGUGGAUAGAUGAAUAUAAUUUAAGAAUUUUUUAUCCAUGUGCUGUAUUUUUAAAUAAUUUUCUUAAAAACUGCUAUUUUUUUAAAGUUUUCAUUUUUUAGAGAAAUAUUGUAAAUUUGGGUUUGUGAUUUAGAAUUAGGACAACUAGACUAUUUGUGGACAGAUGAAUACUCUCUAAGAAUUUUUCAUCAAUAUAUUGUAUUUUUAAAUAAUUUUCUUAAAAACUUCUAUUUUUGGAAAGUUUUAUUUUUUUUAGAGUAAUAUUGUAGAUUUGAGUUUGUGAUUUAAAAAUUAGGACAACAAAUAUAUUUGUGGAUAAUUGAGUAUUCUUUUAGAAAUUUUCAUCAAAAAGUUGUAUUUUAAAUAAUUUUCUUAAAAACUUCUAUUUUUGGAAAGUUUUAUUUUUUUUAGAGUAAUAUUGUAGAUUUGAGUUUGUGAUUUAAAAAUUAGGACAACAAAUAUAUUUGUGGAUAAUUGAGUAUUCUUUUAGAAAUUUUCAUCAAAAAGUUGUAUUUUAAAUAAUUUUCUUAAAAACUUCUAUUUUUGGAAAGUUUUAUUUUUUUUAGAGUAAUAUUGUAGAUUUGAGUUUGUGAUUUAAAAAUUAGGACAACAAAUAUAUUUGUGGAUAAUUGAGUAUUCUUUUAGAAAUUUUCAUCAAAAAGUUGUAUUUUAAAUAAUUUUCUUAAAAACUGCUAUUUUUGGAAAGUUUUCAUUUUAUUGAUAAAUAUUGUAGACUAGGGUUUGUGAUUUAAAAAUUAGGAUAACUAGACAAUUUGUGGAAAGAUGAAUACUCUUUAAGAAAUUUUCAUCCAUAUGUUGUAUUUUAAAAUAUUUUUCUUAAAAACUGCUAUUUUUGGAAAGUUUUCAUUUUAUUGAUAAAUAUUGUAGACUAGGGUUUGUGAUUUAAAAAUUAGGAUAACUAGACAAUUUGUGGAAAGAUGAAUACUCUUUAAGAAAUUUUCAUCCAUAUGUUGUAUUUUAAAAUAUUUUUCUUAAAAACUGCUAUUUUUGGAAAGUUUUCAUUUUAUUGAUAAAUAUUGUAGACUAGGGUUUGUGAUUUAAAAAUUAGGAUAACUAGACAAUUUGUGGAAAGAUGAAUACUCUUUAAGAAAUUUUCAUCCAUAUGUUGUAUUUUAAAAUAUUUUUCUUAAAAACUGCUAUUUUUGGAAAGUUUUCAUUUUUUAGAGAAAUAUUAUAGAUUUGGGUUUGUGAUUUAGAAAUUAGGACAACAAGAAUAUUUGUGGAUAGAUGAGUAUCCUUUCGGAGUUUUUUAUCAACAGUUUGUAAUUUUAAAUAAUUUUCUUAAAAACUGUUAGUUUUGGAAAAUUUUCAUUUUUAGAGAAAUAUUAUAGAUUUAGGUUUGUGAUUUAGAAAUAAGGACAACAAGAAUAUUUGUGAAUAGAUGAGUAUUACUUCGGAGUUUUUCAUCAAUAUGUUGUAUUUUUAAAUAAUUUUCUUAAAAUCUGCUAUUUUUGAAAAGUUUUCAUUUUUAGAGAAAUAUUAUAGAGUUGGGUUUUUGAUUUAGAAAUUAGGACAACCAGAAUAUUUUUAGAUAGAUGAUUUUUUCGGAUUUUUUCAUCAAUAAAUUGUAUUUUUAAAUAAUUUUCUUAAAAACUUCUAUUUUUGGAAAGUUUUAAUUUUAUAGAUAAAUAUUGUAGAUUAGGGUUUUGUGAUUUAAAAAUUAGGAUAACUAGACUAUUUGUGGAAAGAUGAAUACUCUUUAAGAAAUUUUCAUCAAUAUGUUGUAUUUUUAAAUUAUUUUAUUAAAAACUGCUAUUUUGGAAAGUUUUCAUUUUUAGAGAAAUAUUAUAGAUUUGGGUUUGUGAUUUAGAAAUUAGGACAACAAGAAUAUUUGUGGAUAGAUGAUUCUUUCGAUUUUUUUCAUCAAUAGAUUGUAUUUUAAAAUAAUUAUCUUAAAAACUGCUAUUUUUAUAAAAUUUUCAUUUUUUAGAGAAAUAUUGUAGAUUUGAGUUUUUGGUUUAAAAAUUAUGAUAACAAGAAUAUUUGUGGAUAAUUGAGUAUUCUUUAAGAAAUUUUCAUCAACAAGUUGUAUUUGAAAUAAUUUUCUUAAGAACUUAUAUUUUUGGAAUUUUUUUAUUAUUAGAGAAAUAUAAUAGAUUUUGGUUUGUGAUUUAAAAAUUAGGAGAACAAGAAUAUUUGUGGAUAGAAGAGUAUAAUUUAAGAAGUUUUCAUCCAUGUGUUGUAUUUUUAAAUAAUUUUCUUAAAAACGGCUAUUUUUGGAAAGUUUUUCAUUUUUUAGAAAAAUAUUAUAGAUUUAGGUUUGUGAUUUAAAAAUUAGGAUAAAAAUAAUAUUUGUGGAUAGAUGAAUAUAAUUUAAUAAUUUUUCAUCAAUGUGUUGUAUUUUUAAAUAAUUUUCUUAAAAACUGCUAUUUUUUUUAAAGUUUUCAUUUUUUAGAGAAAUAUUGUAUAAUUGGGUUUGUGAUUUAAAAAUUAGGACAACUAGACUAUUUGUGGACAGAUGAAUACUCUCUAAGAAUUUUUCAUCAAUAUAUUGUAUUUUAAAAUAAUUUUCUUGAAAGUUGCUAUUUUUAUAAGUUUUCAUUUUUUAGAGAAAUAUUAUAGAUUUGGGUUUGUGAUUUAGAAAUUAGGACAACAAGAAUAUUUGUGGGUAGAUGAGUAUUCUUUCGGAAUUUUUCAUCAAUAGGUUGUAUUUUUAAAUAAUUUUCUUAAAAACUUCUAUUUUUGAAAAGUUUUCAUUUUUUAGAGAAAUAUUGUUGAUUAGGGUUUGUGAUUUGAAAAUUAGGAUAACUAGAGUAUUUGUGGAAAGAUGAAUACUCUUUAAGAAAUUUUCAUCAAUAUGUUGUAUUUUGAAAUAAUUUUCUUAAAAACUGCUACUUUUGAAAAGUUUUUUUUUAGAGAAAUAUUGUAGAUUAGGGUUUGUGAUUUAAUAAUUAGGAUAACUAGACUAUUUGUGGAAUGACGAAUACUCUUUAAGAAAUUUUCAUCAAUAUGUUUUAUUUUUAAAUAAUUUUCUUAAAAGCUGCUAUUUUUAGAAAGUUUUAAUUUUUUAGAGAAAUAUUGUAGAUUAGGGUUUGUGAUUUAAUAAUUAGGAUAACUAGACUAUUUGUGGACAGAUGAAUAAUCUUUAAGAAUUUUUCAUCAAUAUGUUUUAUUUUUAAAUAAUUUUCUUAAAAGCUGCUAUUUUUAGAAAGUUUUAAUUUUUUAGAGAAAUAUUAUAGAUUUGGGUUUGUGAUUUAGAAAUUAGGACAACAGGAAUAUUUGUGGAUAGAUGAGUAUUCUUUCGGAGUUUUUCAUCAGUAGGUUAUAUUUUUAAAUAAUUUUCUUAAAAACUACUAUUUUUGGAAUUUCUUCAUUUUUGGAGAAAUAUUGUAGAUUUGGGUUUGUGAUUUAAAAAUUAGGACAACUAGACUAUUUGUGGACAGAUGAAUAAUCUUUAAGAAUUUUUCAUCAAUGUUUUUUAUUUUUAAAUAAUUUUCUUAAAAACUGCAAUUUUUAGAAAGUUUUUAUUUUUUAGAGAAAUAUUAUAGGUUUGAGUUUUUGAUUUUGAAAUUAGGACAACAAGAAUAUUUGUGGAUAGAUGAGUAUUCUUUCGGAGUUUUUCAUCAACAGUUUGUAAUUUUAAAUAAUUUCUUAAAAACUGUUAUUUUUGGAAAAUUUUCAUUUUUAGAGAAAUAUUAUAGAUUUGGGUUGUGAUUUAGAAAUUAGGACAACAAGAAUAUUUGUGGAUAGAUGAGUAUUAUUUCAGAGUUUUUCAUCAAUAAGUUGUAUUUUUAAAUAAUUUUCUUAAAAACAGCUAUUUUUUGAAAGUUUUCAUUUUUUGAGAGAAAUAUUGUAGAUUUCAGUUUGUGGUUUAAAAAUUAAGAUAACAAUAAUGUUUGUGGAUAGAAGAGUAUAAUUUAAGAAAUUUUCAUCAACACGUUGUAUUUUAAAUAAUUUUCUUAAGAACUUUUAUUUUGAAAAGUUUUCAUUUUUAUGAGAAAUAUUGAAAAUUUGGGUUUGUGAUUUUAAAAUUAAGAUAACAAGACUAUUUGUGGAUAGAUGAGUAUUCUUUCGGAGUUUUUCAUCAGGAGGUUAUAUUUUUAAAUAAUUUUCUUGAAAACUGCUAUUUUAGGAAAUUUUUCGUUUUUUUGAGAAAUAUUGUAGAGAGCAAGCUUUAGAACAAACCCAUCAAGGUUUCUUGUUUUAUCUCAGAGCUACCACUAUAGGGAUCUCAAGCUUCUCAUCAUUAGUCAUCUGCAAAGCCAUACCUGACGAAGAAGAAGAAGCAAAGACGAUGAUGAGAUCCGAAGAAAAUCAUAAAUCAAACCCGACGAAGAAGAAGAAGCAACGGAACUUGAGAUAGACGGAGAAGCUAACAAUCUAAUACUAAGAAACAAGCUUAUAUUACUGUUGGGACUGGAUUACAUCCUCCCAUAAGGCCCAUCAGUCGGCAAGCCUGGCUUAAUAGAAUCAUAACUGCCGGCUCGGCUUGGCGACAAAACGCUGGAAAGACUCUCCACUGCUUUUAAGCCGACUCGAGCCAGCGAUUGAAUCGACUCCCUCCAACGGCUCGCCAGAGCGCUUUACUCCGAAGGCCCGACAGGCCGAAGCCAAAAAGGACGAGAAGAACUAGGUCAAGAGGUCGGCGAAUCGACUACAUAAGGAGAGAAGGAAGCAUCGAGAAAGGGAUCCGCAAAUAACCAAACACUUACUUUCGGCUAGAAAUUAGGGUUUUAUAUCUUACUCUCGUCGACUUGUACCUUCCGGCGAACUAGCUUUCGCCGGUUUACUUUCUACCACUUCUUUCCCCUUUUGUAACACAGUCAAACAACACCCUGAUCUAAUAGACGCUUUUGUCUCGAUCCAUCAACGAGUUCUCGUCUCUUCUCUUUACUAGUUUAUGGACAGUUCUCGGUUCAAACAGUUGGCACCCACCAUGGGGCAAACAAAGUAGAGUCAGCAAGAUCAUGGCUCACUAAGAUUCGCCGUCUGGCGACGAGUCACCUCCGACUGAAGCUGCUCUGACAGCAGCUUUCGCAGACACCAUACUGGAAAAAAUGGCUCAGCAGGACGCCAUUCAGAAGGCGACAAACGAGCAGCUCGCCGCUAUCGCCGCCAUCUUAGCUCCCUUAGCUGGAAACUCUGCAGAUCCAGCCACGGUUCGAAAACAGCUGUUCGACACCUAUCGAACAGCCGGCGUUGCGAACACGGCAGAUACAAACGCUGUCCAAAUCCAAACUCCUGGCGGUCCAGAUCUCACAACUAUCCAUGGGCUUGCCGAGCUUAAGCAGUCGGUCCUGGAUAUUAGGGAGAAGAUCCUCCAAGGACCCACUUCGGCACCAUUGAUCGAACGCGUUCUCUCUGAAACCCUAAGGACCCCAUUUUCCCGGCGAGUUACCGAUGUACGGUACCAACCGAUAUAAUUCUAUUGUGAAUACAAAAUAAACAAUAUGUAAAUUAUACCGAUAUAAUUCUAUUGUGUCAAAUUCUAUUACUUAUUUUAUAUAAGUAAAAAAUAUUAUCUUAUUAUUUUAUCGAUUUGUGUCCAAUUUUGAAUCAGCCCAAAUUGAGACCGGCAAAAUUUAUUAAUUUAUAGUGAUUAUUAAUUUACCGAAUAUUAAUUUAAAAAGAUCCUACUGUAUACAGAGCCGGCCUUGGAGGUAAGCGGGAGAAGCGGCUGCUUCCAGCCGUCAUUAAAUUAUCAAGUUUAGUGGCCACAUUUUUACAGUAUUUAUCCAAUAGUUCCAGUGGUAAUGUUGAAAUUUGAGGUAUGAGAGGGUGAGGGUUCGAGAUUCUAUGCAAUGGUAUUUUUUUAAGUAGUUUCUUUUUAAAUAAUUAAACAUAAAUAGGUCACUUUUUUUUAGUUCUGCUUCCAGUCCGGUAAAUACACGGACCGGCUCUGACUGUAUAUAGCCUUCUUCUCCAUCCUACGGUGAGCAUUGAUUUGGAUCUUUAAACUCAUACUUCUUGCUUUCUUUUUCUUUUUACUCCUUUGCUAGAUUUAAUGGUAGUAAUAAUUGCAGGUACUAUGUUGCCCUCGUACGACCUAGAGACAAGCUAUUGAUAGAUAUCUGCAUAUCCAAAGUGAAUGCAUCUGACACGGUCAAAGAAAACUCACUGUUGAUCAUGUUUGGGAAGUUCGGCAAAGAGCAACACAAACAUAUGACCACGUCAUCCUCAUGCUCUCUCGUCUCGUGGACAGUCCCGGGAUUUUGGUAUACAAAUUUCAGAUGUUUUUGAUAUUGGACCGAAUCAGAACCGGUUAUUUUUGUUCGGUUCAGGUUCAAAAUUGAUUUACACAAAAAGUAAUUAAUUUAUUCUUGUGUUAAAUUAAAAAAAAUUACCAAUUGUUACUUUGUUUUGUAAGAAUCUAACUAAAUCCAUAUGCAAAAAUAAAUAAUUCACGCAGAAAAAACCAUUAAUAAAAACAUCUUGUAAAAAGCAUCAAUAAAAACAUCAAAAAUCGGCUCAGUUUGAUAAAUAAUUUUGGAAACAAAAGAUACCAAGCCUUUCUCAUGUUUUGGUUUCCUUUUAAAAGUUAAGCUUUAUAAUAUAAAUUCAGUUUUAAUACCUAUCAAACCUAAAUGUUUUUUUAGUGUAUCAAAAGACUUUGUAAUCGUUAUACAAAAUGUCGAAAAACAUUUAGUCAUUGUGGAAGCAGAAAAGGUUUAAAUGUCGAAAAAAUGUUUGUUGACAAGUUUGUGGAGAUAUGGUUAUGUUACGAUUAGACAUGUUGAAUUUGUUUGUGGAUAUGAAGUGGACAAUGUAUCAUAUUCAUAUCUUUUCGUCACACGUCAAUAGUUUUCUCAAUAAUCUUAAAAAAAAACAAAAUACGGUUGGAGAUAAAAGGAACCUUCUCUCUCUUCGUAUCUACUUCACCUUCUCUCUAAAAGGAACCACCGCAUCUCUGUUUGUUUUCCGGCGGUUGUUGCCAUCAGCGGCCGCCGGACCUCCGUCCAUUGUUGUUUUCUUUCUUUUUCCGUCGUUCGGUCUCUCUCUCUCCUUCGUCGUCCAUGUUUCUCUGCGGUUAGAGGGAGUCGUGUGUCUGGAUCUCAGAUCUGGUCGACCCAAAUACAGAUCUGGGUUUGCGGUGGUUGUGGUCGCUUGAGGACGACGUCUACCAGCAUUGUGUCCAACCUUCGUACGUCUAGGGUUUCCAGGUAGUUUUUACGAGCUUCAGUUUCGCUUCUCCGAGUGUUGUGGCGUGUGUAGCUCAUCUUGCUCCUCGUCGGUCUUGUUCGUCUCCGGUGUUGCGUCUGUGUGUCGUGCGAGGCGCCGCGUGGAGUUGGGGCUCUUGGUCCGCCAGAUUCUGGUAGGCUCUGUGUCUAUAUGCUUUCUCUGUGGUGUUGCCGCCAUGUUCUCUGGUGGUUGCAGCGUGUGAGGUUUCUUCGGUGGCGGAGGCGUCGGUCCGCCUCUCUGUGUUCCCCAGUGGCAGCACGUUCGUGCUUAAGCUACUUCGGUGUGUUAAGCUCAGUCUUUUGCUCCGGUCAUUGCUCUGCGCUCCUCAGAUCGGGUGGUGGUCGGUGUAGUGGCCUGCUGCGUCCCACACUCUUCUCAAAUAAUCUCAACAGCUUUGUGUUACAGUUCAAGUGGGAUACUUAGUGCGUUAGUUGGACAACGAGUUUCAGAGUUUGGUUAUGGAUUUGUCUCUUCUGGAGGGUUGUCCGUCUACCGAUCUGUAUUCUCUAUAUGGGUUGCGGUUAGAUGGGUGUAUACGGUCACAGUGGAAUGCAAUGGAGGCGGUAAUCUCUCCGCUGAACGAUGAGCAGGUUCGUGUUCGGAUUAUUCGUUUGGGAGUGCUCUGUGCAGCCGUUGGAAGCUGUAGGAACUGUAGCAUUCAGGAUUUGAGGGUGCCUUUCUCUUGGUAGCUCGCGGCAAUUAAUCGUUUAUUCAUCUAGCUCUCGUGUUAGGACAACAAGAAUAUUUUUGGAUAGAUGAUUCUUUCGGAUUUUUCAUCAAUAGGUUGUAUUUUUAAAUAAUUUUCUUAAAAACUGCUAUUUUUGGAAAGUUUUAAUUUUAUAGAUAAAUAUUGUAGAUUAGGGUUUGUGAUUUAAAAAUUAGGAUAACUAGACUAUUUAUGGAAAGAUGAAUACUCUUUAAGAAAUUUUCAUCAACAUGUUGUAUUUUUAAAUAAUUUUCUUAAAAACUGCUAUUUUUGGAAAGUUUUCAUUUUUAGAGAAAUAUUAUAGAUAAGAGUUUGUGAUUUAGAAAUUAGUAUAACAAGAAUAUUUAUUGAUAGAUGAUUCUUUCGAUUUUUUUCAUCAAUAGGUUGUAUUUUUAAACAAUUAUCUUAAAAACUGCAACUUUUGAUUUUUGGAAAGUUUUCAUUUUUUUAGAGAAAUAUUGUAGAUUUGAGUUUGUGGUUUAAAAAUUAAGAUAACAAAAAUAUUUGUGGAUAAUUGAGUAUUCUUUUAGAAAUUUUGCAUCAACAAGUUGUAUUUGAAAUAAUUUUCUUAAAAAUUUCUGUUUUUGGAAAAUUUUCAUUUUUUAGAGAAAUAUUAUAGAUUUGGGUUUGUGAUUUUUAAAUUAGGAUAAAAAUAAUAUUUGUGGAUAGAAGAGUAUAAUAUACGAAUUUUUCAUCAAUUUGUUGUAUUUUUAAAUAAUUUUCUUAAAAACUGCUAUUUUUGGAACGUUUUCAUUUUUAGAGAAAUAUUAUAGAUUUGGGUUUGUGAUUUUUAAAUUAGGAUAAAAAUAAUAUUUGUGGAUAGAAGAGUAUAAUAUACGAAUUUUUCAUCAAUUUGUUGUAUUUUUAAAUAAUUUUCUUAAAAACUGCUAUUUUUGGAACGUUUUCAUUUUUAGAGAAAUAUUAUAGAUUUGAGUUUGUGAUUUAGAAAUUAGUAUAACAAGAAUAUUUGUGGAUAGAUGAUUCUUUCGAAUUUUUUCAUCAAUAGGUUGUAUUUUUAAAUAAUUAUCUUAAAAACUGCAAUUUUUGGAAAAUUUUCAUUUUUCAGAGAAAUAUUGUAGAUUUGAGUUUGUGGUUUAAAAAUUAAGAUAACAAAAAUAUUUGUGGAUAAUUGAG
rnacentral:lncRNA from 1 species